AGGCGGCGGCGCUGGUGGGGACUGACCCGGCAGUCCGAGAAUCCACCGCGGCCUUUUCACCCAACCGCCCCCUCCUGCGUGGGGGCCCCGCAUCCCCUGGACUGGCGUGGGCUCUGGGGCCCGAUGCCCUGGCAGCCCCGGCCAUCUCUGCCGCUGGCCGCGGGUACCUGCUCACCUGUCCACGCCGUGGCCGACCCGGGGAUCACCGACAGCCGGGCCAUGCCUCGAGUCCCGCCGCCCGCGCCGCUGCUCGGCUUCUCAGAAACGCACCUCCACGCCGCCAGCCGGGGCUCCAGGGUCCACCGCCCGGGCCCGGAGGACUGGCGACUCCCUCCGAGGUUGGGAGCGCUCCGGAUUUCUCCAACUUCAGUUUUGAAAGACAAGUGUUUCAUCGUCUUGAGAACGCUGACUUAUGAUGCCCUUGAUUGGCAUUAAGGAAACAAACUCUGGGAAAGAAUGAUGACGUCCUGUUAUAUUCUCAUCUUUGUAUUGCUCUCUCAAGGGCACCCAGUCUCCCUGGGGAGGUGAAGGCUACCUUUACAUGUCUUCCCAUCCAACUGGAGAGUGAAUCCAACAGGACAACUGCAGUGGACACCUGUCGAAGUAUCCUUACAGGUGCGGUCACAGCCUCCAUUGUUGACAGCACACGUUUCUGGCAAGGAGAAAUAUGGGGGAGGAGGAGCCAGAAGAAGAAACAGCUCGAAGAAUUGACUAUUGUUGCCUCUGGCAAAUGGGAUGAGGAAAUGGGAAGUUAUGAGACAAGGAAAUGAUGAGUUUCAUUACAAGCCUAGAAGUAAUUAAGCGUUUAUGUUACUCAUUUGUACUAUUUUCACUUAAGACAAUGAAAAUUUAUAAUUUCUAAAGAGCAGAAAAGAGCUCGGAAAGGUUACCUGCUUGGUAACCAAUGGCUGUAUGAUAUGUUGCCUGACUGUUAAAUCCAGAAACUGUCAAAAGAUGGGUUUUGUUUAGGUUGAGCCAGACUUUCUCCAGAAGGAGUAACGCACCAAAGGAUCUGUCUGACUCCCACCCCCAUGACCACCUCUAUUUCUGCUCAUCUCCAGCUUGACCGCUGGACCUUCAGGCAGGUCUUCCCUUGUCCCACAGCCAAGUGUUGCCCCUCUCCAUUCAUCUCUUCUACUAUUAUCAUCAGCUGAGUCAGAAAUAGAAGACUCAGUGGACACAAAAAAAGACUAGCUGCCAUUCUGAGCUAGAGGCUGCUUCAGAGGAAGACAGCUGACUUCACUGACCACCCACUCAGUCCCAGGCACUGGACUCUGGGCACCUUUCCAUAUUAUUAUCUUAAUUGAGCAUCCCAACUGAUAUGGCCAGGCUUUAUGUCCCCACUCAAAUCUCAUCCUGAAUUAUAAUCCCCAUAAUCCCCUCGUGUCAAGGGAGAGACCAGGUGGAGGUGAUUGGAUUAUGGGGGCGGUUCCCAUGCUGUUCUCAUGAUAGAGUGAGAUCAUGAGAUCUCAUGGUUUUACAAGUGUUUGGUAGUUCCUCCUGCAUUUAUUCUCCUUCCUGCCACCUUGUGAAGAAGGUACCUUGCUUCCCCUUUGCCUUCCACCAUGAUUAUAAGUUUCCUGAGGCCUCCCCAGCCAUGUGGAACUGUGAGUCAAUUAAGCCUCUUUCUUUAUCAAUUACCCAGUCUCAGGCAGUUCUUUACAGCAGUAUGAAAAUGGGCGAAUACCCUGGCCCUAAGAGGUAGACUUUAUUACAUCCAUUUCAAAGAAAGACCAAGAGACAGAGCCUCAGGGCAGUUUGCCAAGUCUUACAGCUAGGUGGGGGCUGCAUUGGGACGUUAACCUGAUUAUUCUGAUGGACACGAGACCAAGGGUCUUGCUUGGUUGGUGAUUAAGCAACAGCACUGGUGAAGAACAGACACACACCCUGGUUCACAGGAGCUGCUCACCCCAGUCCAGCUGGUCUGAGGGCAUGUGGCUCCCAAGUUCAGGUCUGAUGCAAUAAGUUGGGGAGGGAAAAGGACAAUUGCAGUGGCCAAGGAAAGGGAGUGAAGGUGCCUACCCAUGAGCAGCCGCCGUUUCACCCGUUUAUCCCCAUCCACCACUGAUGUGGUGUUGCUCUCUGUCACCUCCAGGACAGUGUCCUCUCGCUCUACAAGAGAAGCAAAAGAGCACGGUUCUCAGACUGAAUGAGUUAGAUUGCUCAUCCCCAUACAACUGUGUUUGCUGAAAUCCCAGACAUAAGAGGAAUGAAAGAUAUGUGACUCUGUUCACGCAAUAAAAAUGUGUUGUAAUGAGGCUCUGUGGGAGACACAGCCCGUUAAAGGGCCACAGAUCCUUAGCAAACAUUAAACAUGGAAAAGAUUUUGGAGGUAUAUUGCACUGACCAAAGAGACACUAGGGAAUGCAAGCUUCAGUCCCCUGAGUCGAGGAGAAAAAGAGCCUUGGGCCUGGAAACCUCUAAAAUGGAGCUAGUGAAGGACACACCGUGAAGGGCAAGGCAGGCAUCCCGCCAGAAAUAUACGGCCCUGGCUCCUGCUGGCCAGAAGUGCCGCAUCAUUAUAAACAGCUCUAACUUCGUGCUGCCCUGGCCUCCUGGGAGGUGUUGUGCCAGUCUCUGGAAUACCAGCGUUAGGAGCAGCCUAGUCCAGGAGAGGAGGAAGGGCUUCCCAAGGUCACACAGGGAGAGAGGGGCCUUCCCCACAGGCCUAGACCACUCCCACUGUAGCAUGCGAAGCAGCACAGGGCCUGCUGGGGGGGCAAAUGCACAGGAAACAGCCUGCAUCUGUGCUAAACACCAUUAAGGGGUAGGGGUAGGGACAGGCAGGCUGGUGCAGACCCUCACUCAGUGUUGGGGUUGCCACUCACCAAGGCAGCUCCUCCCAUCUGUGUGCAUCUUGUACUGUGGAUGGCAGCUGCACUCUGGGCCAUCGGCUGUAUCGUCACAGGAGUGCUGGCACCCACCGUUCCCAUGGUUACAGGUCACUGACAGCAAAAUGAAUCAAUACAUAAAGCACUGAGAUUUCCACAAACACAGGGCUGUGUUUGCUCCAGAGAAAUUCUGAUUUUCAUUCUGCAAGUAUUUGAGCACCUAGUGCAUGCCAGGCAUGGUGCACGAAAGACAUAACUCCAAGUCAGACCCUGUGGUGUCUGUGUAUGCAGAUAGUUACAAUACAAAUUGUAGAAAUGCUGAAACAUGGGUUUAAACAAAGUCAUACAGGAAGAGGGAGAUGGGAGAGUUGGGGGAGAGACUUUUAUUAUAUAAGGGAGAUUAUACCAAGAGAUUCUAGACUACUGCUUUGUUCUAUCUAGAGAAGUUUACCUAUUAAUACAGCUGUACUGGGGCUUUGGGAAAUGCUAUAGCACUUUAUGCUGGAAUAAAACAGACAAUAUUUAAUUUGUACAUAUAUGUCAGAAUUUCUCUCAUCAGAUUCAAUCUAGAUUAGUUAGAAGGAAGGAUAAUCACAGGAUGAUUCUGCACACAAUUAACGUGACAGUAACUGGUAAUUAUCAAGACUAUAUAUGAAUGUAUUGAUGAUAGGCCAAAAAGAAAAAAAGCCAACUACAAAACUAUCUAUUCAUCAAACUGCUAACCGUGGUUACCUCUGGCAAGGGAAACGGGAGGCGGGAAACUGCAUGUUUUCUUUAUAUGCUUUGGAGUGUUUGCAUUUUACAUAGGCCCUUUGUAAUUUUUCUAAUUCAAAAGAACUAAUUACAUAUUUGUGUUGUCCUGUGAUUAUAGCUGUGUAAAAAUUGUGUAUGCAUAUGAACAACAACUAAAUAGGAAUAUGGAAAAAUUGAAACAGCUGGUUAUGUGGUGAGAUUCUAGGUCUUAGUUUUUUUCUUUGUUAAUUCCUCAAACGUUAAAUAUGUUAAUGUUAAAAAUGUUAUAAUGUUAAAAAUGUUAAUAAUGUUAAUGU
ensembl:lncRNA NRIP3-DT NRIP3 divergent transcript